rnacentral:tRNA from 1 species
UAGCUCAGCUGGGAGAGUGCCUGCCUUGCAAGCAGGAGGUCAGCGGUUUGAACCCGCU